GACGAACGCUGGCGGCGUGCCUAACACAUGCAAGUCGAACGCAGUUGCUAACGGAUGAGUAACGCGUAGGUAACUGCCUGCUAGCGGGGGAUAACUAAUGGAAAGGAUAGCUAAUACCUCAUACUACCAGAUCGACCCGAGUUGUAUUAGCUAGUGGGUGGGGUAACGGCUCACCAAGGCAACGCUACAUAGCCGACCUGAGAGGGUGAUCGGCCACACUGGGACUGAGACACGGCCCAGACUCCUACGGGAGGCAGCAGUAGGGAAUCUUCGGCAAUGGACGGAAGUCUGACCGAGCAACGCCGCGUGAGUGAUGAAGGUUUUCGGGUCGUAAAGCUCUGUUGUAAGAGAAGCGGUAUCUUACCAGAAAGCGACGGCUAACUACGUGCCAGCAGCCGCGGUAAUAC
rnacentral:rRNA from 1 species